rnacentral:lncRNA from 1 species
GAUGGCCGCAGCGUCCCUGGAGCCCUAGCGCCCGCGCUAUAAAAGCGGCAGCAGCCGCUCGCCCUUCUUCUACCCGCCGCCGCCGCCAUAGCCGACUCGAAGCUCCGCACCCUCACCAAGCGCCUCGACCCCGACCUCGCCCCGCGCACCUGCACCACCGAGCUCGGUCACGCCGUGACGCCGUCGAUCGCCACCACGAUGUCGCCCGCAACUGCGUCGCCCGAGCGUCUCGUCCUCGGCACCACCUCGGCACUCGCACCGCGCCCUCGCCGAGCAGCAGCAGAGCCGCGGCCAUGGCCUCGCCCUGCCGACGCCGCCAAGCACCACUGCGCCCGCCUCGGCCGUGCCCCUACCUCUGUGUCAAGCUUCAUCACCACGCGGGGGUCAGCCGCGGUGCCGUCCUCGCUGCGCAGCGGCCUCGCCCGGCGACGUCGAGCCCGCUGCCCUCGCCGCGUCGAGCUUCGACCACGGCCGGCCGCGUGGACGCCACAGCCCGGCCGAGCCUCUGCCUCGCCACCGUGGGAGUCGCCGCGGCCACGACGCCUUCAGCCCCGGCGCCCCUCCGCGUCUACGACGGUGUCGACCGCGAGCCCCCGUGCUGUCAUGGAGCUUACCUCGUCGAGCCGACACGCCGUCGACAGAGCCACCGAUGCCGCGCGCCGGGCACCAGAGCAAGCCCCUUCGCCGAGCACCCGAUGCGCCCCGUUGCCGCGGCCACGCCAGGACAUCGCCAUGGUCACCGCGUCAGCGCCGGCCGUGGUGAUCGCGACCCCGACCACGACGCCGUGCUCAUCUUGCCACGGUGACCGCGAACUUCCCUUUUGCUGGCUGCCGAUCACCACUGAACGUGCAGCAGCGGCAGCACCACCCCGCGCGAAGCUCUUCUCUGCCGCCGGUGAGCCACCAGUGCCCAAGUGCCCUCCUUGCUAGCUUUCUGUUUUGCCUUGCUGAAACCGGCCUUUGUGCCGUGUUCUUCACUGUACAGGGAUGCUGCACCCAUGUCGUGCCACUUGCCGGAGCCGUUGGACUUAACAUCGCUGCUGUUGGAGCACCGAACCUCGAGGCGUUGCCGAACCCCAAGACUUCUCUUUCAGAUGCACCCCGGCCACUUGCAGCAAGCCGCGACCAAGCUGUAGAAGCCCUCUGCCAUCCUCGCCCGCAAGGUCGAACCUUGAACCUAGCCGACAUCGUCUCCGACGUUGGCAAAACCCUUGCCGUUCAUUUCGAUAUCAUACAUGCCAUGUAUCUUGCUCAUGUAUGCAUUAUGAUCUAUCUGCAUGACCAUUUGUUCAUCUAUCCAUGUCAUGCACUUGUUACAUGAUUAUUCAUCUCAUAUCUCGUUUAAUGCGCGAUCUAUCUUCGUCUAUAUCUCUGCCUGUGCCGUGCCUUCGUGCCGGUCUAUUUAUCUAUCUCUAUCUCUUUUGGUCGCUAUGGAAAUGUGCUACUCCGAGUCGUCGUCUUGUUAGUGUUGCAAUUUGUGCUUUUGUUCUUGUCGUUGUGGACCGUGCCGUCGAGCCGGUUGAGAGAGUGACGUGUUUGGAUGUUGCGAUCGCGAGUUCGUCUCGCCAUGGCCGUAAUGCCGAGCAUGUCCCUUCUCUCGUAUUUCUGUUGUUCCUUCUUUUGUUAUUUGCAUGCCUGAGGACCGAGCCUUCGAGCCGGUUAGGGAAAAUGGUGGAGCGAUCGAUCAUUUCGAUCGUGGGUUCGUCCCGCCGUGAUCGCGAUGCCGAGCGUAACUCAUUCCCUGUGAUUAGUUGUCUUCGCUGCGCUACGGUCGUUAGCUCCUAUUCCCGUCCCUCGAACGUGGUCAUCGUGGACUCGAUGUCGUUAACGACGCGGUUCUUACCCGCACACUCGAGACCUAAAUGACCUAGUCUAGUGGGAUACGAAUUAGGGGACAACCUUCGUAGAACUAUCGGAGAAACUCGUUAGGUGAAGCUCAUGGCCGCGAGUCCACCUUGCCAUGGCCAUUGGGCUUUACCCCAUUUCUCCCGUGUUUAUCCUAACCACCUCGUAUGCUUGUACCACUUCGACUAUAGCAUUCCCUCGGACCUAGCGGUGACAACCACAUCGCUAUGGGCCUUAGGAAUAGCCUUGUGCUGAUUUAGAUGCACAGUCAUGGUGCCCUACAAGUGGGUUGGGAUCGUGGGGUCGUAUUCCUUUUAUCCAACCGUCGUUGUUCCAUGAUGAGUUGGUCGAAAGAGUAUGGACUCCAUUCUUCUUCUCUCUUGUUCUCAAUCCCGUCGAUCCAGUAAGAUGGGGAUUAAGCCCCUUUUGCUUGUUUGAUGUUUUGUUUCCAAUCCCGCGAUUCCCGCCGUUGCUAUGGCGAGCGGAUCAAAGGAAGGUGAAUCCCGUGUCUUUUUCCGCCUUUUUGGUUCUUCGUGCUUAAACUCUUGUAUGCUUGUACCUAUAUCGAUCGUAGCAUUUCUUUGGUUCUUGUGGUGACAACCGCACCGCAAAGAACCUUAGUGAUGUCAUAGUGCAUUUAGUGCACCUAGGUUGUGGUACCCUACAAGUGGUUUGAGUACUCGUGUUCCUUAUGUGUCACUCUUUCUAAUCCCCCGUCUCUUACCAUGGCGAGUGGAUGGGAAGAAGUAGACCACUCCCCUUUUCUUCUUUCCUUGUUCCACCCUCUCUUGGCUCUCGCCAACUACAAUGGCGUAUGGAUUGAGAGAGACCGGAACUUCGCGUGCUCAUAGUCUUUUCGAUUCUUGUCGAUCUCCGUGAUGCUUGGAUCGAAGAGCCACUACCUAUGGUGUUUGCUUAUGAUAAGUUAGGGUCUAAGCCAAUUAUUAAAGUCGUACAGGUUGACUUAGUCGACCCAGGAAGUACCGGCUAGGCUAAGACUCCAGCUUGUACUUAGUGAACAACCAUUCCCAUUUCUUUUAGCCCAAAGAUCGGACAUCCGCCGAGAGGGCUAAGCCGUUUUCCUUUCGUUGCUCUUUUAGUGUAGUUGUUCCUCAGUGUUAUGUCGUCUCUUUUCGUAGUCUUUCGAGGUCUAGUGGUUUGAUUGUUUCGCCUUGUUUGUCGCUUUCGAGGUAGUCGCUUCGAGGUUAGCGUUGAUCGGACCAGGACCAGUUGAAGGAAGAACAUGUAGAAAGGAGGAUCUUGGAUGAGUACAACUACAAGUGAACUGAGGAUCUUGGAAAUGUCACUCGACAGGUGCCACGUCCCACCCAACCUCGUAGAAUCCUAUUAGACAUGCAAUAUUAUAGAUGCUAGUGCUUUACUUUUAUGCAAAUGAACUAUGAUAGGUUGCAUGGUAGAAAUGCUUGUGAGCCAUUGCCUUGUUGCAACCUAUAACCCUCGCACACCCGCUGUUAGGUUAGAUGCUUGCAUACUACUUGCCACUGCUUCUACUACGCAUUAUAUCUGUGAUGUGAUGCAUUGUGGAGGAUUGGAUGUGAGUGGAUAAGGCACGUGUGCCGAUAACUGGUUAAGAAAUGGAUAAUGGAUAUGGGGAGAUCUUGGCGUGUGUCUUGGGUGUGUGGUGAGGGUCGAGUCGACCGAGCAGGAUUUACGACGAGUCUUGGGACAAGUCUUGCCGGGGAAUGCUACCUGGGCGUUCUCCAUGAGAGAUACCUGUGGCGGGUACAUGUGACAGGGAGAGGUCCCGGAGUGGAGUGUCUUCGUGGGACGAAGCACCGGGAUGGGAGGUGCUGUAUAGCACGGGGUAGCCGGGUGUCCCGUCGAGAGGGGCAUCGGCUGGCCCCUCGUGAAGAUGUCCUGUUCGGUUACCCUAAGGACUGAGAUGUUCUGAGAACCGGUUCGUAGGAAGCCUUACACGCCACUCGCCUUAUUAUGGUGCGGGACGGAUGUACGACCAGCUAGUGCGGUGCCACUACUACUAGGUUGAUAGCGGAUAGUGUAGGGAGGUACGGGCAUGAGGACCCACACCCUCCUAAGACAGCGUAGUGACCUUUGGGGGCCCGGUACUACGCCUCACAGUCUCAGCAUGCCGGUGGUACUCCGGUAUGGCCCCAGUCCUGAGUGGUAGGGUGGCAUCGUAUUUAGUUGGAAGGCAGCCCGGUAUCAGCCUAGACGAGCCGGUUCGUCGAUGAUGGUGAUCUUGUGGUUAGUGUAAACCUCUGCAGAGUUUGGUUGAUCGAUCGAUACAUAUGCCGUCUUCUCGGCUAUGGACCUUUCCUAUGUUCCGCUUCGCUUGACUAGUGAGAGGAGUCCCUUCUAUCUUCCCCUGGGUUUGUGUUGGAUCCGGCGUUGGCCGUUGAGGCAAGGCACGAGCGGGAGUCGUACUUGCCGCCUAGAGAGUGAGAGUGUGGUGAGAUGUGUGUGAUGGGAUGGAUGGAUGGAUGUGUGGAUGAGAUGGAUUAAAACUUGAUGAAUUAUUAUUAUUAAAAUAUUGAUGAACUUGCAUAGAAAAAACUACAGCCAUAUAUAGGCCUCUUGAUCUACCCUUUUGCAUUCCACUUACCACAAAGCUUACGCAAAAGCAUAGGGUGGGAGCCAGUGGCCAGUACAAAUCGUACUGAAAAUUGUUUAGCAGGUUUUGAACGUGAUCUAUGACGAUAACUACGGAGAAUAGAAGGAUUAGGUGGUCUCGUUCCUGCGCUCAAGUUUGGUUCAGAGAUGAAGGCUGCGCCCGCUGAUAAACUACGCCGACUCUGAUGAUUGUCCGUGAAGGAGGAGCCUUCACCGCUGUCGCGCUACAUCGACUCUGAUAAAGACUCGCGUGUGUUUCCGCUAGAAAAACAAUGUAAUAAGCUUGUUAAUCAAGAGUUGUAAAGCAAAUGUGUUGUAAUCUUGUUUCUCACGAUGUAUGACUACGAUAACAGCUGAUAUAUGAUAAUGCGAUGGUUCAAUUUUUGAAUUAUCACAUUAUAAUUCGAAUCUGUGGAUUUUUCCCUUUGUGGAAAAAUCUGGGUCGUUUCAGUUGGUAUCAGAGCCAUACUUGACCCUAGGACGAGACCAUUAGGACCAAACACUAGUUUAGAAGCCAAACAUUCUAUCUUUUGUAGAGUUAUAGAUGCUAACACUUGUUUUCCCCCCUCCGCCUUGAAUUCUGUUGCUAACUGACCUCCCUGUUUCAUAAAGUUGACCGUUGGAAUCUUUUCCCAUACCCGCCCACGCUAGAUCGGUAGUCGUGUGAGACUUUGAAGGUCUGUGAGUCGCCUCAAGUCAACACUAUGCAUUAGGAGUUGUAAUGCUGAUUGAGUGCUUGGAUCUUAUGUUCUUGCGUUUCGUCUGCUUCUUGUUGUUUGAGUGUAUGUCAUAGAACUGUUUUAUGCGAGAAAAACUCUGGAUCCCGUCCAAUCUAGCUGGCUAAACCUAAGACUGUCCCGAAACUAGAUAAGUGACCCUGGCUAACAGAGCCGAAAAAGGGUUUAAAGCUGAUGCAUCAUGUCUUGCCCAUCUAUUUCAAAACUGUUUUUGGCUUCCAACUAAACUUGUCUUCAAAAUUGCCCUUUUGUUGAAAAAGUUUCUCUCCUUUUUGGUUGAAAAAGUUUAUCUCUUUUACAAAACAUCUUGGUUUCAAAAGGAAAAGUGUUUCAAAACUCUCUCAAUAUUCUUCCCUUUUCACAAAUAAAGCAAUUUUAACCCCCCUUUCUCAACUCAAACUCUAUUUAUGAAACGGUUUAAAAACAAGUUAUCUUCAAAAGGUGUUACCAAUCCUCUUUCUGAAAAUCAAAAGUUCUACCUUCAACCAACAAAGUGGUUUUCAAACCAAAGAUCUUUGGCUCAGUUUUGUUUUAAAUGUCUUUGAUUUUAUCUCAAGAGCCAAAUUCCUUUUAAAAUUCAACCUUGCCUUAAAAGAAAAAGGAAUUCCCAGUGAUUUAUUAAACAAAAACCAUUGUGAAAAGUUUUUGUUUAGCAACCUUUCAAAAAAAAGAACGAAAUGGACUUUCAAGUUUCAAAAAUGUUUUGGUUGUGAAGGCUCUAACUUUCAAAAUGCGAAAUGAUUUCUUGUUAUUUUCAAAACUAAUUUGUUUGACUCUAAUAAAAAGGGAGCAAUACCUUGUUUUAAAGAAAAUAGUAAUAAUAAAAUGAAAGAAUUUUAAAAUCUUUUGAUUUGAAAUCUUUUAUAAUAAAACCUUCAAAAUAUUUGGUUCUCAAAACUUGUAUUGAAUUCAACCCUCUGCAAAAGCUCUCUUCAUUUUGAAGUCUCAAAAAAAAAAUUGACUUUGUAAAAUCGCUUUCACUCCAUUUAUGAAACCUGUUUUUUCCGAAAAACAUUCCUUUCAAAAGCUUUUUGCAAAGAGUGAUGCAUGAAAAACUGCUGGUGAAAGCCAACAACCCUAGCUAUGUUUAAGCCUGCCAUGCACUCCUAGAGAGCCAGAUGUUCAUCAACCUGGUGCGAUUCUUGGAUACCCAUCGCCUUAUUGUGAGAAUUUGGAUACCCAACACCAGCGAGUGAGCCUUGGAUACAUCCUGAACAUGACUCGCCCCCACAUGGAAAAGGUUUGUGGAGCCAUCUUUCUGAUAGCAAAACAACUCAGAAGUAAGAAAAGCUUUGGGAACGACACCCGCGUUUCUUCACCGACCGAGCAACGCCUAAAUCUCGGGGACGAGAUUCCUGUAAGGAGGGUGGACUGUAACAUCCCAGAUUUUCACGAAAACCAAAAAUACGAGUUUUUUUAAAAUUUUUCCUGUAAUCGUGUGAAUCAUAUAGUAUUUAGGUCAAACUCGAUCCUAACCCGCUAACAAAUCGUGGCAUACAUAUAGAUUUGUUUGUAGACGGGUCGUCUUAAGUUGGAUCUUGUUAGGGUUUUGAGUUUCUUUUGGAGUGCACAAAUCCGUAGCAAAGCCUUCCCGAAUUUUCGUUGAGCCUAUCUCAAAGGCGAAGCGGAUCCCUUCUCAACCUUUUCGUUGGAGUACGUCUCAAACUCCUUUUGAUCCUUUUGAACUCUCCCUGAAAUUCCCUUCUCUCUCUCUUUGAUCUUAUCUAAAUCUCCUCCGCAAAAUCUAUCUUAAAUUCAUGGUAACUCAUCUCAAUCUCUUGUUGAGUUCUCUCUCGAAUGCCCCUCAUUUUUUUUUCCCUUUUAAAAUUUCUCUCAAAGCCCUUGAGUCAAAUUCGUAAAUGGAAGAUCCAUCUCCUUUCAUGGGCCAAUUCUUUCCUCCUCUUCCUCCCUCCCUCGGCCCAGCCUGGGCACCCUUCCCCCCUGUCCGGCCCAACUCGCGCGCGCCAAGGCCCAGUCUGCCCCUUACCCCCCAGCCAGGUCGGCCCACCUCGUUCCCCCUGUCUCCCCUCCGAGGCCCAGCUCUUUCCUUGGCCCAUCCAGUGCCGCGCUGGCCCAUUCGCUUCUCCCUGCUCUGGCCCAAGUCGUGGCCGGCCCAGCAGCCAGCGCCCCAGCCCCAACCCUAGCAGGGAGCUGGACACCUGAGCCCCAGAGCCGCCGCCGCCGUCGCCCAAGGCAGAGCCGCGCCAGCGCUCGCGCCUGCCACGGCUUCCGUGCGACCCCGCAUCCACCGCCGCGUGUCCCGCUGCGGACACGGACGCCGAGGAUGGCCGCAGCGUCCCUGGAGCCCUAGCGCCCGCGCUAUAAAAGCGGCAGCAGCCGCUCGCCCUUCUUCUACCCGCCGCCGCCGCCAUAGCCGACUCGAAGCUCCGCACCCUCACCAAGCGCCUCGACCCCGACCUCGCCCCGCGCACCUGCACCACCGAGCUCGGUCACGCCGUGACGCCGUCGAUCGCCACCACGAUGUCGCCCGCAACUGCGUCGCCCGAGCGUCUCGUCCUCGGCACCACCUCGGCACUCGCACCGCGCCCUCGCCGAGCAGCAGCAGAGCCGCGGCCAUGGCCUCGCCCUGCCGACGCCGCCAAGCACCACUGCGCCCGCCUCGGCCGUGCCCCUACCUCUGUGUCAAGCUUCAUCACCACGCGGGGGUCAGCCGCGGUGCCGUCCUCGCUGCGCAGCGGCCUCGCCCGGCGACGUCGAGCCCGCUGCCCUCGCCGCGUCGAGCUUCGACCACGGCCGGCCGCGUGGACGCCACAGCCCGGCCGAGCCUCUGCCUCGCCACCGUGGGAGUCGCCGCGGCCACGACGCCUUCAGCCCCGGCGCCCCUCCGCGUCUACGACGGUGUCGACCGCGAGCCCCCGUGCUGUCAUGGAGCUUAC